rnacentral:lncRNA from 13 species
CACCGCGAUAACUGACCCAUUCGAUCGGUUGCCAGUUUACGGCUUUUAAUUCAAUUUCCUCCGUGCGCGUGCGCGUGUCACUCGUAUCGCAAUGCAAACUACGAAAACUCACCAUCUUUGAUAUAUAACGCGAAACGAAACCCGUCAUUCGGAAAAAGACGAAUGUGUUUUAGCAAGAAAUGAAAAAUGCAUGUUCCGAGGAAACCGUCUCGUACCGUCUUCCGUCUUAACGGUUUACUGUGAAUAAAUUGAUAAAAUAAUAGUCAUAGAGCUAUAGUAAAGCUCACUGUCAGUGCAGUUGCACCGAUUCUACGACUUGGUUAUAUCACCGGAUGACACAGUCCCAUUCGACAUUAAUUUGCAAAUUAAUGCAUUUGACUAUCCAAAUUAAUAGACAUUAAUUCGAAAAAAAAUACAGGAAAAAUUCUCAUCUAAAUUAAGGAAUUGUCAUCUAAUUAAUGAAUCUUAAUGAUAUAUACAAUUGUAAUAAUUUAAUAAAAUUGAAGAGAAAAAUGACACGCGUACAGGCUGCGUAGAUGCAGCAAGUAGAUGCACUCCUGUAACUGUCUAUUUAAUAAAAAAAUUGAAAUUGAAAUAAAAUAAAAA